ACGCUGGCGGCGAGCCUAAUACAUGCAAGUCGAGCGAACGGACGAGAAGCUUGCUUCUCUGAUGUUAGCGGCGGACGGGUGAGUAACACGUGGAUAACCUACCUAUAAGACUGGGAUAACUUCGGGAAACCGGAGCUAAUACCGGAUAAUAUUUUGAACCGCAUGGUUCAAAAGUGAAAGACGGUCUUGCUGUCACUUAUAGAUGGAUCCGCGCUGCAUUAGCUAGUUGGUAAGGUAACGGCUUACCAAGGCAACGAUGCAUAGCCGACCUGAGAGGGUGAUCGGCCACACUGGAACUGAGACACGGUCCAGACUCCUACGGGAGGCAGCAGUAGGGAAUCUUCCGCAAUGGGCGAAAGCCUGACGGAGCAACGCCGCGUGAGUGAUGAAGGUCUUCGGAUCGUAAAACUCUGUUAUUAGGGAAGAACAUAUGUGUAAGUAACUGUGCACAUCUUGACGGUACCUAAUCAGAAAGCCACGGCUAACUACGUGCCAGCAGCCGCGGUAAUACGUAGGUGGCAAGCGUUAUCCGGAAUUAUUGGGCGUAAAGCGCGCGUAGGCGGUUUUUUAAGUCUGAUGUGAAAGCCCACGGCUCAACCGUGGAGGGUCAUUGGAAACUGGAAAACUUGAGUGCAGAAGAGGAAAGUGGAAUUCCAUGUGUAGCGGUGAAAUGCGCAGAGAUAUGGAGGAACACCAGUGGCGAAGGCGACUUUCUGGUCUGUAACUGACGCUGAUGUGCGAAAGCGUGGGGAUCAAACAGGAUUAGAUACCCUGGUAGUCCACGCCGUAAACGAUGAGUGCUAAGUGUUAGGGGGUUUCCGCCCCUUAGUGCUGCAGCUAACGCAUUAAGCACUCCGCCUGGGGAGUACGACCGCAAGGUUGAAACUCAAAGGAAUUGACGGGGACCCGCACAAGCGGUGGAGCAUGUGGUUUAAUUCGAAGCAACGCGAAGAACCUUACCAAAUCUUGACAUCCUUUGACAACUCUAGAGAUAGAGCCUUCCCCUUCGGGGGACAAAGUGACAGGUGGUGCAUGGUUGUCGUCAGCUCGUGUCGUGAGAUGUUGGGUUAAGUCCCGCAACGAGCGCAACCCUUAAGCUUAGUCGCCAUCAUUAAGUUGGGCACUCUAAGUUGACUGCCGGUGACAAACCGGAGGAAGGUGGGGAUGACGUCAAAUCAUCAUGCCCCUUAUGAUUUGGGCUACACACGUGCUACAAUGGACAAUACAAAGGGCAGCGAAACCGCGAGGUCAAGCAAAUCCCAUAAAGUUGUUCUCAGUUCGGAUUGUAGUCUGCAACUCGACUACAUGAAGCUGGAAUCGCUAGUAAUCGUAGAUCAGCAUGCUACGGUGAAUACGUUCCCGGGUCU
rnacentral:rRNA from 1 species